GGCUUUUCCCCCUCAGACCUGCUUGCGUUGUAUACAGAGAAGCUUGCAGGAUCUUAUGGGAGGAAAAGAC